GCCUAGCUGGCUCAGUCGGUUGAGCGUCCGACUUCGGUUCAGGUCAUGAUCUCACGGUUUGUGAGUUCAAGCCCCACGUCAGGCU
rfam:Felis catus isolate Cinnamon breed Abyssinian chromosome B2, whole genome shotgun sequence.